rnacentral:rRNA from 1 species
AUGGUCGAGGCAGCCUUCAACUACUUCUCUGACGUCCUUGGCUCGACCAGCGAUUGUGCCUUCUCUCUAGACCAGUCCUUCCUGCAUGAUGCACCCUCCGACCUCUUUGAUCCUGAGGCACCGUUCACAAAUGAUGAAAUUUGGAGGGCCAUCAAAAGCCAGCCGACGGGAAAGGCUCCUGGCCCGGAUGGAUUCACGGCUGAGUUCCUCCGUGCAUGCUGGGACAUCAUCAAGCAUGUCAUUUGUGAGGCGUUUGACAUAUUCUACACCGCCGACGGGAGAGGCUUCCAGAAGCUCAAUGAAGCGCUUCUCACUCUUCUUCCCAAGCGUCCGGACAGUGCAGUGCUCUCUGACUACAGCCCUAUUAGCCUCAUCCACCUCAUUGCGAAGCUUUUUGCAAAGGUGUUGUCCCUAUGUCUCACGCCCAGACUUGGAGCCAUGGUUUCGACAAACCAGAGCGCUUUCAUUGCCGACAGAGGCAUACACGACAACUUUCUGCUUGUUCAACAGACGACGCGUCUUCUACACAACCUCAAGGUGCCUCGCAUGCUUCUGAAGCUUGACAUAGCGCGGGCCUUCGACAGCAUCUCCUGGUGUUUCCUCCUCGAGACACUAAAGCACCUUGGCUUUGGCCAACAUUGUCGCGACUGGAUCUUGAUCCUCCUUUCCACCGCCUCCACACGGGUCCUAUCCAACGGCCACCCGGCCCCCCAUUGGCCAUGCAUGCGGCCUAUGACAGGGAGAUCCGACAUCUCUGAUGCUAUUCACCAUCGUCAUUGA